AUGACCAUACUGCCCUAAACAUGCCUGACCACAUCGAUCUCAGACACUAAGCAGGGUUGGGCCUGGUUAGUAUCUGGAUGAAAGAAAUAUAUGGUAAUUGGUCAUU
ensembl:rRNA 5S_rRNA 5S ribosomal RNA